rnacentral:lncRNA from 7 species
ACAGGCUUCAUCAGAGAGACUGAAUCAGAAAAGAAAAGAGGAGUAGAUCCUAUCUUGGAUGGUACCUUUUAUUCAGCAACUGUCAGAGGGUGACAUAAGCAUCCUGCAGGGUAGAGCUCUAAUUUGCUUGGACAACUUGACAGCCUAUUUGAGAAGAAUUGAAAGAAAUAGAUUUUUAUGUCCUAAAAUGUCCUAAGCACCCAAACAAGAGAAAAAUGUACCAUGCUUCCGCAGACAUUAAAUCUCUGUUAAGGAUGAAGAGCUGGCCUCCUCUUGGUUGGGUACUGUAUACAUACUCUUAAAUUCAGUGAACUGCAGAGCUGGUGUCACAUCAGAAGAGCAUGAAGGCAAACACAGACCCAAGCAUCCUUGUCUCUGGGCUCUGCUGCAGUUCUGCAAGUCGUAGCUGUUCUGCUGCUUGUGCUCAGCUGCUCCUCACAGAGAUUUAUUGAAAACUUCCGUAUUGACUGCAGUGUUCUGCCAUUAGUUCUUCAAAAUUGCACGUAGUUCAGACCCUAUUCAUUGCUUCAGACCAUUACAGCAUGUAUGUGGGUGUAUUUCUCAAUCUGGGUCUAAGAAUACCAGGAACCAUUUGCUUAUUGCUUAAGAUAAUAUUCAAAUAUGAAGGUUUUUUUGUAUAGCAUUUGCAAUUGUUUUUCUCAGAAAUGUUCACUAACAGUUUUCAUCCUUUCACCUGAAAUCAAUUAUGGACUGCUAUCCAGAGGUCCUUUUACCUCCAAAAAUACGCUGCUUGUGCCAUUUAUCAGUUGAAUGGUUGACGUCUCCACUUCAGUGACCAUAGUGUCAGGCAUAUAGUUUCUUCAGUGACUCUGACUUAAAACCAUUCCAUACAUCUUCAUGUCUGAUAUAACUCAGCAUAGGAGUAAAAUUAGAAAAAUACAUUAAUAGUGAUGCGUAUUUGGAUAUUGAGAGUAGAAAGAAAUAAUGGAAGAAAUGUAACGCCUUCUGCAUUAUGAAACAUGUUUGUUGCUCAUAAGUCAUUGAAUUUGUGUUGAGAUUUCAAUCUUUCCGAAUCACAGGAAGGAGUGGGCUCUCCAAGUCCAAGACAGAACAGUGAUGCUCCUUUUAGCUCAAACUUUUACCAAAUAUCAUAUAAAAUAAUAGCUGUAUAGCAGUCUCAAUUCACAUUUUAAGGAUUCCUGUCUUAGAAUGAAACAUCUCUUGGAAUAUAUAGAAAAUACAAUUGUUAUUAUUAUUAUUAAAUCAAGAUUUAAAUCUCUAUUAAGUCAUGCUUGAUCAGCCUGAUAAGCUUCUAUGAUGACAUGACCAGCCUAAUGUAUGAGAGGAAACCAAUGGUUGUUGUCUUCCUAAAUGGUAAAUCCUAAAGUCUUCCUAAAAGACAAUAUUUUAGACUGUUUUUUUUCC